UACGGGGGGGGCAAGCGUUGUUCGGAAUUACUGGGCGUAAAGGGCUCGUAGGCGGCCAACUAAGUCAGACGUGAAAUCCCUCGGCUUAACCGGGGAACUGCAUCUGAUACUGGAUGGCUUGAGAUUGGGAGAGGGAUGCGGAAUUCCAGGUGUAGCGGUGAAAUGCGUAGAUAUCUGGAGGAACACCGGUGGCGAAGGCGGCAUCCUGGACCAAUACUGACGCUGAGGAGCGAAAGCCAGGGGAGCAAACGGG
rnacentral:rRNA from 1 species